AACGGUCUAUACCUGCGGUACCUGCGGAGGGAUCAUUACUGAAUUGAUUUUGGGGAUGUUGCUGGUCUCUUGAGGCAAUGGUGCACUCCCUCAACAUUUCACAAUUUCCAUCUUACCCAUGUGCACAUCCUGUAGGUGGUCUCCCAACCCACCCUCCAAGGAAAGGGGGGGAGUGUGUGGGUCUGGUCUCCUAUGUAUUUCCUUGCCAACAUCACACGUUUUGACUGAAUGAAUCCUGUG
rnacentral:misc_RNA from 1 species